AGCUGAGUCCAGGAACGCAGCCACACAAUGAUGAUGGGUGUGACCUGAGAAUUACAGUGAAAGAACUAUUUUCCAGUCUUUACCCAGUGAGGAUGCGCCAUCUGACCCUGCAGCUGUGUGUGGUUGUGAGCACAUCUGCUGCAGGAUAACCCUUGCGUGCCACAGCACUGACUGCGUAUGUAAAAGCUUAAACCCUGAGACCAAUGUCUCCUUCUACUUGCCUUUCACAGAUUUUCUGUUUGUUUUAACUCUAGGAUAAUGUUAUUACCCUAUAUGAGAAAGUAAGGGAUUUUCCUAAGAAGGUCUCACGUUGCCAUGUGAACUGGAAUAUUUUAGAUACAUCCAUAGUCCUCAUUCAAAAACGAGACGUGAGAGUCAUUCGGAGACCUUGUUGAAACACAGAUUGCUGACACCAUCUUCACUCCAGAGAAAAUCUCCUUGCAUAGUCUUGAGAUGGCCUGAUAAAGUCACUUUCUUCACACAGAGACUCUGGAUGAGAAUCUUUGCAGCAGGUGUGAUCUAUCUGAGGACAGUGGCUUUUGACAGUUUUGAGCUGCAUCCUAGCCCCUUGUCAUUUGUUAAGAUAAUUAACUACUAGGUACAUGGAACUUGGAGACUAUAAUGGUCGGGACUUGAAGAUGGGUUCCAAUUAUGUCUUGAAAGAUAUUUAGAGAAUAACCUUGAAGUACUGGAAACAACUAGACUUUAUGAAAGAGUCCUAGCAAUCUUUGUAAUUACGCUUUAAACAUCUUUGAAACACACUGAUUGUUUGGAGAUGUCAUAAUGAAACCAAUUAUUAUGUG